rnacentral:tRNA from 1 species
GGAUUGUGGCUCAGUGGUAGAGUGCUCACUUAGCAAGCAAGAGGCACUGGGUUUGAUCCUCAGCACCA